GAUGAAGAACGCAGCGAAAUGCUAUAAGUAAUGUGAAUUGCAGAAUUCAGUGAAUCAUCGAAUCUUUGAACGCACAUUGCGCCCCCUGGUAUUCCGGGGGGCAUGCCUGUUCGAGCGUCAUUUCACCACUCAAGCCUCGCUUGGUAUUGGGCAACGCGGUCCGCCGCGUGCCUCAAAUCGACCGGCUGGGUCUUCUGUCCCCUAAGCGUUGUGGAAACUAUUCGCUAAAGGGUGUUCGGGAGGCUACGCCGUAAAACAACCCCAUUUCUAAGGUUGACCUCGGAUCAGGUAGGGAUACCCGCUGAACUUAAGCAUAUCAAUAAGCGGAGGA
rnacentral:misc_RNA from 1 species